CUGUCACGGCGGGGCGAUACCCAUUGUCUAUUUAGGGGUAUCAGGUCGUCAAAUUCAGAUUGAAGAACGAGUACAGAGCUACUGGAAACGAUUAGGGGUUUUGUUUUCUCAGGUUAUACGAUAUUUGAAGCACGGAUGGUGAACAAGCGAUUAGGGUUCGUUAAUUCAUCGUGAGACGGUUUUGAUGCAGAAGUUUUAGGUUUACUGAGCAUUUCUCAUCUAGCCAUGAAUAGGAGAACUGGGCUCUUAAAUUUUUGUUGAUGUCGAAGUAAAGAGGUUGUCGAAUAUUGGAUUUUAUCUAAAUAAAGUCAAAAGGGCGAGGGUAAACGACAGAUCCGGUGACCCAAACAGUGGAGAUAAUCGAGUGGAACAUGGACAGCCGCACCUGCCGGCGAUGGUAUACGACAGAUCCGGUGACCCAAACAGUAGAGAUAAUUGAGUGGAACAAGAACAGCCGCACGUGUCGGCGAUGAUGGUGCUCCGGAUGGUUUUGGUGUAAUAGAGUUGGAGAAAUGGUUGGAACUCAAUAGCGGGCCAAACGGACUAAGUUUCUAUUGACAGAUUCAAACGGGUUCGCAAACCGAACACCCGAAAAGGUAUAAACCAUUCACAUUGAACUCUAUGAACAUGAUAAUAUAUUUAGGCAUGAUUUUAUAAUUAGACGAUUUAUAUAUUAUGAAUUUGCAACAUGUUGCUGCAUGUGUGUUGUAAGUUUGGCAGAGGUUGUUGUUUAUGCUUUCUUCGUUUGUACCCUUGCAUAUCCUAUUUGUACUGUCUUACAAAGUUGACGCGUGUACUCUGAGGUGCCUUCCCCGCCUAUCGUUUUCUUCCUGUGAUUUGUUUGCAGCUUUCCACUUUUCUCGGUUUUUGAUAUGUUGUUCGCUAAAUGCAGGCUCGCGUGCUUUUGUGAAGCGUAAUUUAUCUUGAUCGGAGUCUUCAGUAACCUGUAACCUGAUUGGUUUCCCCUCUUUUAUGAUUUGCUCCGGUAUUUGUCUUUCGUUUUAUUGUAUCAACUUUGCGUUCGGAUGGCUUAUCAGGUUUUGCAAUUUGGUCAUUGGCUUUGUUGCUUUUGUGCUUCAAGUGUUGUUUAUUUAGGGUUUCUGAUGAUGGUUGGUGGUUUUCAUAUGUUGGUCGACUUACUUAGAUGACUCAUCCGGCUGCUGUGGAAAAUGUUAAAAGAGAAGUAAAUAUAAUGCAAGCUUUAAGUGGACAUGAAAAUGUGGUUCAGUUUCAUAAUGCCUAUGAAGAUACUAUGUGUACAUAGAUAUGGAGUUAUGUGAGGCUGGUGGGCUGUUUGACCAUAUAAUAUUGGCUUUUUUGGUUAAACCAAUUAGUUUUUUAUUAAAUUUUAUAGCGAAUACAAUUUGUAUAGCUUUGUUUUGUACAUCCUUCAUAUAUAGGCUAGGCGAUUCUACUAUAGAACAUGAUGUAACAAACACUUGGUUUUUAUUACGUAUGAUGCAUAUGAAUGGAUCCCCGCCGCAUCGCGGCGGGUGAUAAAUCUAGUUCAAUAUAAAAAUUAAUGCAUUUUAAACACCA
rnacentral:lncRNA from 1 species